rnacentral:SRP_RNA from 1 species
GCUGGGCGUGGUGGUGGGCGCCUGUAAUCCCAGCUACUCGGGAGGCUGAGGCAGGAGAAUUGCUUGAACCCGGGAGGCAGAGGUUGCAGUGAGCUGAGAUUGUGCCACUGCACUCCAGCCUGGGCUACAGAGUGAGACUCUGUCUCAA